rnacentral:tRNA from 1 species
GGUUCAAUGGUCUAAUGGUUAUGAUUUCUGUCUCACAUGUGGGAUAUGCACACAGAAGGUUCUGAGUUCGAUCCUCAGUUGAACCA